GCAGUCGCCGCGGUAAAACCAGCACCUCGAGUGGUCAGGAGGUUUAUUGGGCCUAAAGCAUCCGUAGCCGGUUGCAUAAGUUUUCGGUUAAAUCUAUGCGCUUAACGUAUAGGCCGCCGAAAAUACUGUGCAGCUAGGGAGUGGGAGAGGUACACGGUACUCGAUAGGAAGGGGUAAAAUCCUUUGAUCUAUUGAUGACCACCUGUGGCGAAGGCGGUGUACCAGAACACGUUCGACGGUGAGGGAUGAAAGCGUGGGGAGCAAACAGGAUUAGAUACCCCUGUAGUCCCUGUCUCUUAUAC
rnacentral:rRNA from 1 species